CCUACGGGAGGCAGCAGUGGGGAAUAUUGGGCAAUGGGCGCAAGCCUGACCCAGCAACGCCGCGUGAAGGAAGAAGGCUUGCGGGUUGUAAACUUCUUUUCUGAGGGACGAAGAACGUGACGGUACCUCAGGACUAAGCCACGGCUAACUACGUGCCAGCAGCCGCGGUAAUACGUAGGUGGCAAGCGUUUUCCGGAUUUAUUGGGGGUAAAGGGCGGGUAGGCGGGAAAGCAAGUCAGGUGUGAAAACUCAGGGCUCAACCCGGAGCCUGCAUUUGAAACUGUUUGUCUUGAGUGCUGGAGAGGCAAUCGGAAUUCCGUGUGUAGCGGUGAAAUGCGUAGAUAUACGGAGGAACACCAGUGGCGAAGGCGGAUUGCUGGACAGUAACUGACGCUGAGGCGCGAAAGCGUGGGGAGCAAACAGGAUUAGAUACCCCAGUAGUC
rnacentral:rRNA from 1 species